GCGCGAGUGGCGGAAUUGGCAGACGCGCUGGAUUUAGGUUCCAGUGUCUACGGACGUGGGGGUUCAAGUCCCCCCUCGCGCACCA
rnacentral:tRNA from 13 species